UACGUAGGGUGCGAGCGUUGUCCGGAAUUAUUGGGCGUAAAGAGCUCGUAGGUGGCUUCGUAAGUCCGUUGUGAAAGUCAAAGGCUCAACCUUUGAAUGCCGAUGGAUACUGCGAAGCUAGAGUACGGAAGAGGCGAGUGGAAUUCCUGGUGUAGCGGUGGAAUGCGCAGAUACCAGGAGGAACACCAAUAGCGAAGGCAGCUCGCUGGGACGUUACUGACGCUGAGACGCGAAAGCGUGGGGAGCAAACAGG
rnacentral:rRNA from 1 species